rnacentral:sRNA from 1 species
AGCUCUUCAGUAGUUUCUGAACAUCUAGACGGUAGGAUGUAGAAUAGGGCACCAGGGGCCAGGGAGGCCCAAUCUCAGAGCGCUGCGGGCUCUGCUGGUGAUAGAAACAAUAUGGUGAAGUUAUAAGGAGAGGGGAGGGGUGGGGGGCGGGAAAGAUUCCUUAGGAUAGAAAAAAAACAAUGAAGAAAGCUCCACUUGAAGACCUAUGAAAUUUCCGACACUAGAACCUUUGUAUAUAGUUUUCGGUAACCUUCGGCAGGGGGCGCUCUGAAAUUGUUGCCACUUUCCGGACAGCCUCCCGUACUUUACCCUCUACAAAAUUGCACAGUGUUUCCGGCCCUUCUCAGUUGUGGACGCUCAUCACUGGCGUUAUCCUUCUUGCAGUUGGCAUUUGGGGCAAGGUGAGCCUGGAGAAUUACUUUUCUCUUUUAAAUGAGAAGGCCACCAAUGUCCCCUUCGUGCUCAUUGCUACUGGUACCGUCAUUAUUCUUUUGGGCACCUUUGGUUGUUUUGCUACCUGCCGAGCUUCUGCAUGGAUGCUAAAACUGUAUGCAAUGUUUCUGACUCUCGUUUUUUUGGUCGAACUGGUCGCUGCCAUCGUAGGAUUUGUUUUCAGACAUGAGAUUAAGAACAGCUUUAAGAAUAAUUAUGAGAAGGCUUUGAAGCAGUAUAACUCUACAGGAGAUUAUAGAAGCCAUGCAGUAGACAAGAUCCAAAAUACGUUGCAUUGUUGUGGUGUCACCGAUUAUAGAGAUUGGACAGAUACUAAUUAUUACUCAGAAAAAGGAUUUCCUAAGAGUUGCUGUAAACUUGAAGAUUG